GACAGAGGGUGCAAGCGUUGUUCGGAAUCACUGGGCGUAAAGGGCGUGUAGGCGGUGAAGUAUGUCCGACGUGAAAUCCCUCGGCUUAACUGGGGAAGUGCAUCGGAAACUACUUCGCUAGAGUGCGAGAGAGGAUGGCGGAAUUCCCAGAGUAGAGGUGAAAUUCGUAGAUACUGGGAGGAACACCGGUGGCGAAGGCGGCUCACUGGUCCGGUACUGACGCUGAUGUGCGAAAGCGUGGGGAGCAAACAGG
rnacentral:rRNA from 1 species